AAAGAAACUGUUAGCACUGAAGAACUCUAGUUGGAUUAAAUGAGCUUCCAGAAUGGAGAGAAAAACUUUAGCAGAGUAUGAAAUAAGUCAAGGGAUCUUAACAACUAACUCCAGGGAAGCCACAGUUAAAGAUCAAUGACACUUUUUGCAUGAGGAGGAAGAGGUGCUGGGCACCCAGCGGAGCGGGGCUGGUGCUGUCUCUGGAAGAUCAAAGAGCCGGGCUGUCUCCCGAAGCCUCCUCUUCCUUCUGUUAUUGCAAGGACCUGGAUGAGGCCACAGGACACCUCACUACUGCAAGGCCUUUCGGUGGGUAUAAAGAUGGUAUGACUUUUGGAUCAAAAGGAAACGCUGACAUAUUCGUGUUUAAUG